rnacentral:rRNA from 1 species
AACGAACGCUGGCGGCAGGCCUAACACAUGCAAGUCGAGCGGACCCUUCGGGGUUAGCGGCGGACGGGUGAGUAACGCGUGGGAACGUGCCCUUUGCUUCGGAAUAGCCCUGGGAAACUGGGAGUAAUACCGGAUACGCCCUUUUGGGGAAAGAUCUAUCGGCGAAGGAUCGGCCCGCGUUGGAUUAGGUAGUUGGUGGGGUAAUGGCCUACCAAGCCGACGUUCCAUAGCUGGUUGGAGAGGAUGAUCAGCCACACUGGGACUGAGACACGGCCCAGACUCCGACGGGAGGCAGCAGUAGGGAAUCUUAGACAAUGGGGGAAACCCUGAUCUAGCCAUGCCGCGUGAGCGAUGAAGGCCUUAGGGUUGUAAAGCUCUUUCACCGGGGAAGAUAAUGACGGUACCCGGAGAAGAAGCCCCGGCUAACUCCGUG